GACGUAGACCCGAAACCGGGCGACCUACCCAUGAGCAGGAUGAAGCGAAAGUAAAAUUUCGUGGAGGUCCGAACCCACGAGCGUUGAAAAGCUCGGGGAUGACUUGUGGGUAGCGGUGAAAUUCCAAUCGAGCCCGGAGAUAGCUGGUUCUCCCCGAAAUAGCUUUAGGGCUAGCCUCAAGGUGAGAGAUACGGAGGUAGAGCACUGAAUGUCCUAGGGGGUAUUGCACCUACCGAAGACUAUCAAACUCCGAAUGCCGUCAUCUUAUACUUGGGAGUCAGACUGUGGGUGAUAAGAUUCAUAGUCGAAAGGGCAACAGCCCAGAUCGUCAGCUAAGGUCCCUAAAUGUAAGUUAAGUGGUAAAGGAUGUGGGAUUGCACAGACAACCAGGAUGUUGGCUUAGAAGCAGCCACUCAUUCAAAGAGUGCGUAAUAGCUCACUGGUCGAGUGAUCCUGCGCCG
rnacentral:rRNA from 1 species